GAAGAAAAGAAAAAUAAAACGAGAAACCGUUUUAAACGAGCUCAGCAAGACCGCAUCCUCUCCCAACAAUGAAAAAUGCCCGGAUACCUCUUCAUAAUGCCCAGGGUGGUCCCAACUGUGUCGACCAUCUCUUGUCGGUAUGACUUGGCAGAGAUCACCGCAGCAGGCAGGAACACACUUCCCCUCAAUCAGCAGUUUCCAGCAGUUUCAAUUUCACAGCGCAGAAGAGAAGGUGAUAUCUGGCUCCGUGCUGUAAACACACUGUGAGCUGGAUGCUGCUGAUAUGUACACAAAAAAAGAUGGCACAUGUGUUGGCCAGAUGUGGUUACUAUUGUUGUAUUUGCUUUGCUGUGGUCAGUGAAAUCCAUUUAAAGCCUCUUUUUUUCUUACCGGAGAAAGUAUGAAUGUAUUUAUUACCCCCCUGAGUAAGAAAACCGUACCUCCGAGGAUGACUAAAAGCUGUCAGAGUUCCACGUUGUAGUGAUUUGGCCCAAGCCACAGACCAGCAGUGCAGUGCUUUUUACAAAUAAGGAGCUCUAGGUUGUGCAGGGGAACUGUGGGUAAACCUUA